rnacentral:lncRNA from 1 species
UUCUAACUAAAUUUUAUUUUAAGAGUUCAAUGAUUCAUAACUGGCAUACUACACAGGGUCACAGACAUCUGUUCUGGUUUGAUGCAAUUCUCUGUUGUUGCAAUGGCGAUCUUAAUUGUCCAUCGAGUCCUUGUAGCCACUGAUUUAGUAGUGGUAGAUGAGGUCUGUGUACAUAUGUGCUGUCAUGUUCAGGGAAUGAAGCAUGGCUUCUCCUUGUUUGUUGAAUUUGAACACACAUAAUCCUCCAUUAUUUAUAUCCACAGAACGAAACCUGAAUCAAUAUAAAAUUAGACCUGUCAACAAUAGUGGCUGAAGAAAUUACACAUAAUCCUCCAUUAUUUAUAUCUACUGAACGAAACCUGAAUCAAUAUAAAAUUAGACCUGUCAAUAAUAGUGGCUGAAGAAACCAUCUUUUAUAUGUACUACAAUUUAAUUGUAAGAAUAGAUUAAAGAAUACAUGUAAUUUUCAUAGUGACGAAAGAAAGUUUUGGUAUACGCUUGGGUUGAUUUUAAUAUCUGUAGGAACAUUUGGCUUGGCAGCUGUUAAAACUAAAGGGUUAUUUUAAUUUUCUGUGCGGAAUAUCAUUAGAGUUAAUCGUAUAGGGGAUAUGGGAAUAAGAUAACAAGACUCUUUU